rnacentral:rRNA from 1 species
CCUACGGGAGGCAGCAGUGAGGAAUUGUUCGCAAUGGGCGCAAGCCUGACGACGCAACGCCGCGUGGAGGAUGAAGAUCUUCGGGUUGUAAACUCCUGUCGAGCGGGACGAAUAUCACCUGGGUCAAUACCCCGGGUGCCUGACGGUACCGCUAAAGGAAACCCCGGCUAAUUCCGUGCCAGCAGCCGCGGUAAU